rnacentral:siRNA from 1 species
AAUACCUUGUAAAAUCGUUUUA